AAUUGUCGAUGCGACACAGUCUUGAUCUGACGUUUGUUCUUAAAAGACAAAGAAGUGUUAACAGUUAUUUUAUGUGUUAAAUACGUAUCUAUCGUAUAUUGGACAUCGAACGGUUUCAUCGAACAAAAUUGACUUCUACCAGGAAUUCUACUAGGAAUUUAAAUAUUAUACGUAAUAUUUAAGAACCAUUUGAUAAUAUAAUAUAUUCUGGACGUCGUUGAACAUCUGGACAUUGAAGAAAUACAAUACUUACAAUUAUACAGGUACGAUGACAGAAACAUACGAAGAAAAUAGGCCACAUAGAGAGAUGGACCAUGUCAUUUAUCAUUGCCGAACAACAUGUGAAACAAAAGUAAUCACCUAUACAUGGACUAUUUCUAAUUUUUGGGAUGUAUGUAAAUUUUCUAACUCUUUAACAUCCAGUAACAUUGAAACGCUGCCUCUUAAAAUUCUCAUGAAAAUUAGUAAGUGCAAUAAUGAAUUAAAGUUCUUUAUUAUCAACGAUUGUAAAAUUGCGAUUGGCAUUUAUGAAUAUAAAAUUUUCAUAUAUCAACAAAAUGAUAAUGGUAUGGUAUUUAAUUCCAUGGGAAUAAUUGAAAAACAUGAGCAAUUUAAUUCAAGAAUUCCUUUGUGUACUCUGUACAUCAGUUAUCUUCAGAAAAAUGAAAAUUUGAUUUUAUACAAUAAUACGCUUACGGUACAAUUUAUAUUCAAAAGACCUAAAAUAUUACAUAACUUUAUAUGCUAUAAUACAUUAGAAAUGUUAAUGGAAGAAGAUAUAAAUGAGUUCUCACUUAAUAAUGAAAGCGAUUCGUUCGUUACAUUUAUAAUAGGUGACAAUCGUAUUUGCGCAAAUAAAUCAUUAUUAUAUACUAAUAGCGAAGUCUUUAAAACUAUGCUCAGCAGUGAUGAUAUAGAAAAAAA